AAAACUAAAUUAAAUUACGCAAGUUAUAAAAAAAAGCCAAAAAGGAAAUUGUGAAAAUAUAUGGGGGUGAUUGGCACAAGGCUUUGAAAACUUCAAACCAUAUCUAAAGUUUUCAAAGUUGUUUUUUUUUGCCAAUUAGCCUUUUUGGACUGUAGAUUUUUUUUAAAGUUUUCAAAGCUCUUUUUUUUUCCUUCUUUAGGGGUGAUUGCACAAGGCUUUGAAGACUUCAAGACAUAGGCCUUGAAUGGUAAACGUUUCUUUGGUGGGAAAAAUUUAAAAAAGUCUGAACCACUUUUUUCAUCCAUUCAACAAAAGAUCAAAACAAAUAUGAAAAAGUACAGGAAACACAAGUGGUCCAAAUAUUUUGUUUUUAGUGAUAAAAGAGGGAGAAAUAUGGGAGGUACGUCUAUAGUAAAACUUCUUGAAAAGAGUAGUAUGCUAUCCAUAUUUGGCACACCUAUCUAAUAUAAUAAUAUAUAUUUAUUUUCUGUUUUAUUAUUAAAGACAUAUAUAUAUAUAUAUAUAUAUAUCAAUACAUGUAUCUCAAAUGAAAAACAAGUAUAAGAUCUCUCUCUUUUUUGAAACAUUGUCUAAAAGAAGUUCAGUUCAUCCUUACUUCGCACGAAUUUUCCAAACACCAAGUUGAAAGUAUUUUUUCCAAAAGUUCAAAUAUAAUUCUAUAUAUACAAUUUUUAGUUAGUUUUAUGUACAAAAAAUAUCUAAUAUAAAUUUUCAUCACUUUAAAUAAUUACUGUCAUUUAUAAUUUUUAGAUUUUGCUAACUUUAAUUAUAAAAAUAUUUAAGUAAGUUCCUAAUACGUAUAAUUUAUAAAUUGUUGUAAUAGAUUCAAUAAAAAUAAUGUGUAGACAUAUAAUUGUUCAAUAAAAUUACUCAUAUAGAUUUUGAAUAAUAUGAAUGUAAUAUUUGAUAAUUAGAAAAAAUGAAAUUAUGAUAUCUAUGUAUAUGAUACAAGUAACUAAAAUACGGUUAAAAUUGAAACAGUCAAAAUACAAUUGAUUAUUCAUUUAAUAAAAUAUAAUUCAAUUUACGGUUUUAUUUUUGUCAUACAGUUUUAAAAUAGUUCAUAGUAUGUCUAAUAUAAAAUAUUAUUUUUAAUAUUAUUGAUAUAUAGAUAUGACGUUCAAUCGCCGACAAAACACAAAUAAUAUCGGGGAAGCUGAUACACAUUUUUCUACGAAAACUUCAACACGGAUAAUGGCUACAAUGAGACUGCAUAAAUUUAUCUGAAUUUCAAAUUUUUCAGAUGAUGAUUUUGCAGAAGUAAUGGGAAAGACAGAGAGUACGGACACAAAUUCUGAGACUGAUCUAGGGAUAUGGAAGAUGCAGAAGUAAUUGAUAGCGAUCUUAUGACAAAUAUCAGAGAAAAUAUUGCAGAUAUACUAUGGGAAAAUAAAAAUAGUAGAUAUUAAUCUUUUUUGUUGUUGUAUUUUAAUUUUUUUUUAACAUUUUAAAAGUUAUCACGAUAAAUAUAUUUAUUGUAUUUGUAAAUA
rnacentral:sRNA from 1 species